AUGUACCGCCGGAGACUAUCCCAAACAUUCCCGACUUACCCUAACCUCAAAAUCCUCCUUUUAGAAAACAAGAACUUAAGCGAGCAGUGUUACCGAAUAACUUUAAUGCUUCGCCAGAUUUCAGCCGCAAACAAUGUCAAACAACGACUCGAACUGAUCCUCAAAAACAGCAAACUCUUCGGAGUCCUCAAAGACAAGUUCUCGGCUGUACCCCGCUCCCUUAAGGACCAGUCUUCGAGCGUGUUGAGGGUAUGGGCACACCAGUUUGAGUGUGUGAUGGCCCACCGUUUACGACGGGGCCAGCAGAUGUUUUGUCUCUACUCGAAAUUGUGGGAGGAAAGGGCUUUAAGGGAGUUUCUGAGACAGAUGAGGCAGAGAAUUGGGGUGAAAAGCCGGGAUUUUCUGGUGGCGGCGCUGGGGGUCGCCGCCUAUGACUGGAGCUCGAAUCGCAUCCCGGAGAGCGAAAUUAGGAGACAUUCAAAAGAGUUGGAGUAUGUUUACAAGCUCAAGGAAAAAACCUUAUGUAACAAGUGCAUAAAAAAUUCACGGAUCUGCCAAUGCCAAAAGCCUAGUGAUAGCAUCGAGAAGCCUAAACUGGCGUCGUACGAUGAUUGGAAAUUAUUUAUCGAAAAAAAUGACUUGGUGGUGUGGAGGAGGUUGCACUCCUCAGGAAACUACGAAUAUAAGGUUUAUGGGUCUUAUGCUGAUGUCUCUGCUGAAGAUUUUCUGAAUGUUCAGAUUGAUAUUGAUUAUAGAAGACAGUGGGAUAACACUGCGGUGGUUUUGAAUAUUGUGGAAGCUGACCCAGACCCACAUUCGCAUAGCGACAUUAUCUACUGGGAAAUGCAGUGGCCAACGUUAUUCGCCAACAGAGACUACGUGUUCAACCGGCGCUAUUUGGUCGACUACAAAGCGAAAACCCUCUUUCUAGUCAGCAAAUCAACCAAACACCCCAGUUGUCCUAAACAACAGACAAAAUACCGAAUCGAGGACUACUGGUCUUACAUGGUCAUCAGACCGUACACCGAACUGAAUAAGCCCGGCAUCGAAUUUAGUCUAACUUAUUUUGAUAAUCCCGGAGUGAAUAUUCCAGCUUCUGUAACAACAUGGGUGGCAAUGAAAGCCAUGCCCGACUUUCUGGAACGCUUGCGAGAAGCCUCUCGAAAAUAUAAAGUUUACUGUAAAGAGUCGGGUGUGUGUAGUAUUUGCAAUAUCCUCGAUUCGCACGAAAAUAACCGGGAGCCGUACCAAUGGGAUUACUUCGAAGACGAUGUUACGGAUAACACCAUCUACGAAGCUCAUCACAAAAUCAAAGCGCCUGAAAUGGACACAAAACCAUCAAAUCCUCCACCGAAAUCCGAUGGGGAUGUUGAUGGCACAACCAACACAUCGGCAAACGUGCAAUCAGAAAACCAUAGCUUCUGGAGAUUUAUUAAAAGAUUAUUUAAAUGAAAGCUAUGUUUUAAAGUACCCGCUUCUGACCAUCCUGUAGAAGUUGUCAAAUUGACACGAACCCAAGCUGUGAAGAACUCAAUGUGGGAAGAAUGACCAAGAAACCAAAGAAAAUUGUUACGUUAUCACCUGUUAAAAUAUUUAAGGACUCUCUCGUCUAGUACUAAAUAAAUUAUUAUGCAACUGG